rnacentral:rRNA from 1 species
UACAGAGGGUGCGAGCGUUAAUCGGCAUUACUGGGCGUAAAGCGCGCGUAGACGGUUUUGUAAGUCAGAUGUGAAAUCCCUGGGCUCAACCUGGGAACUGCAUUUGAGACUGCAUGGCUAGAGUAUGGAAGAGGGAAGUGGAAUUUCCGGUGUAGCGGUGAAAUGCGUAGAUAUCGGAAGGAACUCCAGUGGCGAAAGCGACUUCCUGGUCCAAUACUGUCGUUCAUGUGCGUAAGCGUGGGGAGCCAACAGG